CCUACGGGGGGCUGCAGUGGGGAAUAUUGGGCAAUGGGCGCAAGCCUGACCCAGCAACGCCGCGUGAGGGAAGAAGGUCUUCGGAUUGUAAACCUCUGUCCUUGGUGACGAAACAAAUGACGGUAGCCAAGGAGGAAGCCCCGGCUAACUACGUGCCAGCAGCCGCGGUAAUACGUAGGGGGCGAGCGUUGUCCGGAAUUACUGGGCGUAAAGGGUGCGUAGGUGGCCUUUUAAGUUGGAUGUGAAAUACCCGGGCUGAACGUGGGGGGUGCAUCUAAUACUGGGAGGCUAGAGUGCAGGAGAGGGAAGCGGAAUUCCUAGUGUAGCGGUGAAAUGCGUAGAUAUUAGGAGGAACACCAGUGGCGAAGGCGGCUUUCUGGACUGUAACUGACACUGAGGCACGAAAGCGUGGGGAGCAAACAGGAUUAGAUACCCUGGUAGUCGA
rnacentral:rRNA from 1 species